rnacentral:sRNA from 1 species
GUUUGUCCCGAAGCCUCCAACCACCUGCACGCCUGCCAGGGCCUCUCUGGGGCAGCCAUGAAGUCCCUCGUCCUGCUCCUUUGUCUUGCUCAGCUCUGGGGCUGCCACUCAGCCCCACAUGGCCCAGGGCUGAUUUAUAGACAACCGAACUGCGAUGAUCCAGAAACUGAGGAAGCAGCUCUGGUGGCUAUAGACUACAUCAAUCAAAACCAUCCUUGGGGAUACAAACACACCUUGAACCAGAUUGAUGAAGUAAAGGUGUGGCCUCGGCAGCCCUCCGGAGAGCUGUUUGAGAUUGAAAUAGACACCCUGGAAACCACCUGCCAUGUGCUGGACCCCACCCCUGUGGCAAGAUGCAGCGUGAGGCAGCUGAAGGAGCAUGCUGUCGAAGGAGACUGUGACUUCAAGUUGUUGAAACUAGAUGGCAAGUUUUCCGUGGUAUACGCAAAAUGCGAUUCCAGUCCAGACUCGGCCGAGGACGUGCGCAAGGUGUGCCAAGACUGCCCCCUGCUGGCCCCGCUGAACGACACCAGGGUGGUGCACGCCGCGGAAGCUGCCCUGGCCGCCUUCAACGCUCAAAACAACGGCUCCCAUUUUCAGCUGGAGGAAAUUUCCCGGGCUCAGCUUGUGGUAAAGACUGAGAUUCUUUUGACAGGUUGGGCGGUUCGGUGGCACUUCAGGAAUGUACUGUACGUGGUGGAGCGGGAGGGAGGGAAGAACAGGCGCAGGGGCAGCGAUGAGAAAGCAAGGAGAGGGUUGUUUGGAAAGGGAAGAAAGCAUCCUAAGGGGGUGUGAGGUUCCUGAGUGUCAUGAGGACCCCAACACCCUCAGCGCCUCCCCCAUGCUGAGCCACUGUAACGUCCAGCAGCCACAGCUGCCGGCAGGUACAUCCCCACUCCCUCCGUUCCAGCUAAAACCAAAGCUCAGUGUCAGCCAGUAGAGGUUCCCACGUCGGCCAGAAGCACUCACUGUAAAUUUGCUGGGCUCCAUUAUCACCCAUCUCCGCUGAACAUCUGCCACAGACUCGUAAUUAAUACUCACUUGUGCUGAUAAGCUUAUAAUGGCAAGAUCCUAAAAUGCCUUUGGAGUCACUGGAGAAAACAUCUCAUUGUACUGUGGGUGGUUUAGCACAUUGGAAUGCAACAGAAUUCAAAUGUUUAAGAAAAUGUAUUCUGGAUAUCAGCCAUGGCCAUACUUGGAAAUACGCUAGUAUAGACGGCAAUUCUAUUAAUCAGAAUAUGUGAUUCUCAGAACAUCCCCACCCCAGAC